rnacentral:rRNA from 2 species
CUUUGCUGACGAGUGGCGGACGGGUGAGUAAUGUCUGGGAAACUGCCUGAUGGAGGGGGAUAACUACUGGAAACGGUGGCUAAUACCGCAUAACGUCGCAAGACCAAAGAGGGGGACCUUCGGGCCUCUUGCCAUCAGAUGUGCCCAGAUGGGAUUAGCUAGUUGGUGAGGUAACGGCUCACCAAGGCGACGAUCCCUAGCUGGUCUGAGAGGAUGACCAGCCACACUGGAACUGAGACACGGUCCAGACUCCUACGGGAGGCAGCAGUGGGGAAUAUUGCACAAUGGGCGCAAGCCUGAUGCAGCCAUGCCGCGUGUAUGAAGAAGGCCUUCGGGUUGUAAAGUACUUUCAGCGGGGAGGAAGGUGUUGUGGUUAAUAACCGCAGCAAUUGACGUUACCCGCAGAAGAAGCACCGGCUAACUCCGUGCCAGCAGCCGCGGUAAUACGGAGGGUGCAAGCGUUAAUCGGAAUUACUGGGCGUAAAGCGCACGCAGGCGGUCUGUCAAGUCGGAUGUGAAAUCCCCGGGCUCAACCUGGGAACUGCAUUCGAAACUGGCAGGCUUGAGUCUUGUAGAGGGGGGUAGAAUUCCAGGUGUAGCGGUGAAAUGCGUAGAGAUCUGGAGGAAUACCGGUGGCGAAGGCGGCCCCCUGGACAAAGACUGACGCUCAGGUGCGAAAGCGUGGGGAGCAAACAGGAUUAGAUACCCUGGUAGUCCACGCCGUAAACGAUGUCUACUUGGAGGUUGUGCCCUUGAGGCGUGGCUUCCGGAGCUAACGCGUUAAGUAGACCGCCUGGGGAGUACGGCCGCAAGGUUAAAACUCAAAUGAAUUGACGGGGGCCCGCACAAGCGGUGGAGCAUGUGGUUUAAUUCGAUGCAACGCGAAGAACCUUACCUGGUCUUGACAUCCACAGAAGAAUCCAGAGAUGGAUUUGUGCCUUCGGGAACUGUGAGACAGGUGCUGCAUGGCUGUCGUCAGCUCGUGUUGUGAAAUGUUGGGUUAAGUCCCGCAACGAGCGCAACCCUUAUCCUUUGUUGCCAGCGGUCCGGCCGGGAACUCAAAGGAGACUGCCAGUGAUAAACUGGAGGAAGGUGGGGAUGACGUCAAGUCAUCAUGGCCCUUACGACCAGGGCUACACACGUGCUACAAUGGCGCAUACAAAGAGAAGCGACCUCGCGAGAGCAAGCGGACCUCAUAAAGUGCGUCGUAGUCCGGAUUGGAGUCUGCAACUCGACUCCAUGAAGUCGGAAUCGCUAGUAAUCGUGGAUCAGAAUGCCACGGUGAAUACGUUCCCGGGCCUUGUACACACCGCCCGUCACACCAUGGGAGUGGGUUGCAAAAGAAGUAGGUAGCUUAACCUUCGGGAGGGCGCUUACCACUUUGUGAUUCAUGACUGGGGUGAAGUCGUAACAAGGUAACCGUAGGGGAACCUGCGGUUGGAUCACCUCCUUACCUUAAAGAA